rnacentral:rRNA from 1 species
UGGGGAAUUUUGGACAAUGGGCGCAAGCCUGAUCCAGCAAUGCCGCGUGCAGGAAGAAGGCCUUCGGGUUGUAAACUGCUUUUGUCAGGGAAGAAAUCUUCUGGGCUAAUACCCCGGGGGGAUGACGGUACCUGAAGAAUAAGCACCGGCUAACUACGUGCCAGCAGCCGCGGUAAUACGUAGGGUGCGAGCGUUAAUCGGAAUUACUGGGCGUAAAGCGUGCGCAGGCGGUUAUGUAAGACAGAUGUGAAAUCCCCGGGCUCAACCUGGGAACUGCAUUUGUGACUGCAUGACUGGAGUGCGGCAGAGGGGGAUGGAAUUCCGCGUGUAGCAGUGAAAUGCGUAGAUAUGCGGAGGAACACCGAUGGCGAAGGCAAUCCCCUGGGCCUGCACUGACGCUCAUGCACGAAAGCGUGGGGAGCAAACAGGAUUAGAUACCCUGGUAGUCCACGCCCUAAACGAUGUCAACUGGUUGUUGGACGGCUUGCUGUUCAGUAACGAAGCUAACGCGUGAAGUUGACCGCCUGGGGAGUACGGCCGCAAGGUUGAAACUUAAAUGAAUUGACGGGGUCAUAGCUGUUUCCU